rnacentral:rRNA from 1 species
AUAGUUACCUGGUUGAUUCUGCCAGUAGUCAUAUGCUUGUCUCAAAGAUUAAGCCAUGCAUGUCUAAGUAUAAGCAAUUAUACCGCGAAACUGCGAAUGGCUCAUUAUAUAAGUUAUCGUUUAUUUGAUAGCACAUUACUACAUGGAUAACUGUGGUAAUUCUAGAGCUAAUACAUGCUAAAAAUCCCGACUUCGGAAGGGAUGUAUUUAUUAGAUUAAAAGCCAACGCCCUUCGGGGCUUCCUGGUGAUUCAUAAUAACUUUUCGAAUCGCAUGGCCUUGCGCCGGCGAUGGUUCAUUCAAAUUUCUUCCCUAUCAACUUUCGAUGCGAAGGUAUUGUCUUCGCAUGGUUGCAACGGGUAACGGAGGGUUAGGGCUCGACCCCGGAGAAGGAGCCUGAGAAACGGCUACUACAUCCAAGGAAGGCAGCAGGCGCGCAAAUUACCCAAUCCCGACACGGGGAGGUAGUGACAAUAAAUACUGAUACAGGGCUCUUUUGGGUCUUGUAAUCGGAAUGAGUACAAUUUAAAUCCCUUAACGAGGAACAAUUGGAGGGCAAGUCUGGUGCCAGCAGCCGCGGUAAUUCCAGCUCCAAUAGCGUAUAUUAAAGUUGUUGUGGUUAAAAAGCUCGUAGUUGAACCUUGGGCCUGGCUGGCCGGUCCC